rnacentral:rRNA from 1 species
CCAAUAGCGUAUAUUAAAGUUGUUGCAGUUAAAAAGCUCGUAGUUGAAUUUUAGGCCUGGCCGGACGGUCCGUCUCUGGCGAGUACUGUUCUGUCGUCGGGUCUAUCCUUCUGGUGAGCCGGUAUGUUCUUACUUGGGCGUGCCGGGGACCCAGGACCAUUGCCUUGAAAAAAUCAGAGUGUUUAAAGCAGGCUUUUGCUUGAAUAGAUUAGCAUGGAAUACUAGAAUAGGACGUUGUGGUUCUAUUUUGUUGGUUCAAGGACCACCGUAAUGAUUAAUAGGGAUAGUUGGGGGCAUUAGUAUUCAAUUGUCAGAGGUGAAAUUCUUGGAUUUAUUGAAGACUAACUACUGCGAAAGCAUUUGCCGAGGAUGUUUUCAUUAAUCAAGAACGAAAGUUAGGGGAUCGAAGACGAUCAGAUACCGUCGUAGUCUUAACCAUAAACUAUGCCGACUAGGAAUCGGGCGACGUUAUUUUAACGACUCGCUCGGCGCCUUAUG